GUAGUCGUCCGGUGGUGUAGUGGCAUCCGCACUGGACUUUGAGGCUACAAACUUAUCAAUCACCCCCCGCUGUGGACAUUUUCUGGAGGUCCAAGGUCCAUAUGUUCCACGAUCACUGGACUAUGUGUAUUAUUUUACACCUGGCACAAAAUGGAACAUUCAAGAAGCUUCAGAGGUUUGGAUUGCGGAGGAGCUGUUUGGGCCCCGAAGGUAAAUUGUAAACUCACUAAACAGUCCGAUAAUCUGCUGCUCAGGACGGGUUGGGGUUGGGUAAUGAGAAAUGAGAGAAGGUCAGCUGAGUGUUGGAAAAUGGUGAUCAGGGCCUUGGAUCUGGAAUGGGAUUGUUGAAGAGCACUUCCAGAGCUGGCCCAGGUUGGCAGCAGGCACAAUCAAGAAGGUUUGAGAAUAGUAGUCAAGGAGAGUCUGGACAGAGGGGAGUCCAUGGUUGGGGGUAGGUCUGGAAGGACCAAGGUUCAUGCCAAGGUAAGUGUUUGAAAUGAUUCAGGUCUGUGGUUUUUGCCAAUGAAUGCCAAAAUGGCUGGGGUGUGGUGUGAUUUAGUGAUCUGGGCCUCUAUAGGGGUACCAACAGCUGGGAGAAUCAGGCACCCUUGGGGGAAUUGGGAAAAUUGAGGAUCUAGGCCUUGAUGAAUGAUGGAGGAUAAGAAGAUCAAUGGGGGUAGCUAUCGGCUCUCAAGCCAAUGCUGCAUUACUAAAGCAUGGUUGCCUCAGGAGUACACAGUAUCCACCAAGGCUCAUUCCCAGAAUAACAUGGCCUAAUUCUCCCCACCUACAGAACAUGUCAGAUCAGCUUGGUACUCGCCCUGGGGAUGCCCAUCCAAUUUCCUGAGGGGGUAUGUAAAAUCCCUGGAAGAGUCAUUAUCACAUUUCACUUUGGAAUAAAUCAGCAAAAAUGGGCAUUCACCCAUUUUUAAAUCACAAAAUAUGCACAAAGUUGAAGCAAGCUUUAAGUACUACUAUCAUAAACAACCUUUUUGGCUAUUGUGUCUCCUGCGGGUCAACGAUUAUACACUUGUUAUUCCUACUCACGCAGAUCCUUGGAAAAUGUGAACUCCCUA